AUCAAUUGCCUCCUGUAGAGGGCGUUUAGCCUUUCUGAGAUAUAGAGGUUGCAGAGCUCAGGUCAGAAUUCAUUAAAUAUUGCAAGAGCUCACAGCACAAACGUCUGUUAUUUCUCUGCAGUCUCGCAAGCAGCAAUGAGUGUUAACCCUGCACUGUCUGGGGUGGGAAUUGUUCCCAUGGUGGGAGUGAAGGAGCCAGCCACUGGACCACCAGUAUCAGCAAACGUCUAUAGUAGGCAGAAAUGUUGUUGGAUUACACAGUUUUCCGCUUGAAUAAAGGUCAAGUUAAAGGCCAAACUUCACCAUCUAUAUUUAUUUCCUCUCGGAUGCCGCGACGAGACUCUUGAGUGUGUGCAGGAGAUAAAUUCAGAUAAGUUCUCACAGCCUCCAGUGCAUCAGGAACAUUUCCCCAAAAACUACCUCUUCCUCUUCACUGCGUCUCAGAAAAGAUAAACAUGAUGAACGAAUGUGGGAAAGAUUCCAGGCUCGUGUUUUUUUUUUUUUUUUUUUUUUUGACGGACAAAUAAACGUCGUGAUACUUAUUUAUCGGUGGCGUAACAGUUUUUGCUUAGCCUCAUGUUUUAACCCACGGAGUGUGAAGGAGAUUUUAGAAGUCAAGCACAAUUGCGCCGAAUGUAAUUAUAAAAGCUACGGUUCAGUUCGCGAUCAUCAGAAAUUCAGAACUCGAACUCGCCUCGGCUUCUUUCUCGCUAUUGUUUACUUCACGCUUGGGCUGAUUUUUAAUUCAGAAAAAAUGGAAAUGUGAUCACAAAAUAAACGGACAGUAAAUAAAUGUGCUGAGAAGACACACCGAGGGCAAAAGUGGAGGAAAGAUACGACUCUAUUACACUCUGUGAAGAAAGUUUUAACGUUUUGGUCCUUAAACCAUGAAA